ACUCCUACGGGAGGCAGCAGUGGGGAAUAUUGCACAAUGGGCGCAAGCCUGAUGCAGCCAUGCCGCGUGUAUGAAGAAGGCCUUCGGGUUGUAAAGUACUUUCAGCAGUGAGGAAGGUGGGUAUGUUAAUAGCAUAUUCAUUUGACGUUAGCUGCAGAAGAAGCACCGGCUAACUCCGUGCCAGCAGCCGCGGUAAUACGGAGGGUGCGAGCGUUAAUCGGAAUUACUGGGCGUAAAGCGCAUGCAGGUGGUUUGUUAAGUCAGAUGUGAAAGCCCGGGGCUCAACCUCGGAAUUGCAUUUGAAACUGGCAAACUAGAGUACUGUAGAGGGGGGUAGAAUUUCAGGUGUAGCGGUGAAAUGCGUAGAGAUCUGAAGGAAUACCGGUGGCGAAGGCGGCCCCCUGGACAGAUACUGACACUCAGAUGCGAAAGCGUGGGGAGCAAACAGGAUUAGAUACCCUGGUAGCUCU
rnacentral:rRNA from 1 species